rnacentral:rRNA from 1 species
AGCGCACUCUUCGGAGUGAGCGGCGGACGGGUUAGUAACGCGUGGGAACGUGCCCUUUUCUGCGGAAUAGCCUCUGGAAACGGAGAGUAAUACCGCAUACGCCCUUCGGGGGAAAGAUUUAUCGGAGAAGGAUCGGCCCGCGUUAGAUUAGAUAGUUGGUGGGGUAAUGGCCUACCAAGUCUACGAUCUAUAGCUGGUUUGAGAGGAUGAUCAGCAACACUGGGACUGAGACACGGCCCAGACUUCUACGGAAGGCAGCAGUGGGGAAUCUUGGACAAUGGGCGCAAGCCUGAUCCAGCCAUGCCGCGUGAGUGAUGAAGGCCUUAGGGUCGUAAAGCUCUUUCGCCAGGGAUGAUAAUGACAGUACCUGGUAAAGAAACCCCGGCUAACUCCGUGCCAGCAGCCGCGGUAAUACGGAGGGGGUUAGCGUUGUUCGGAAUUACUGGGCGUAAAGCGCACGUAGGCGGACUAAUCAGUCAGAGGUGAAAUCCCAGGGCUCAACCCUGGAACUGCCUUUGAUACUGUUAGUCUAGAGUUCGAGAGAGGUGAGUGGAAUUCCGAGUGUAGAGGUGAAAUUCGUAGAUAUUCGGAGGAACACCAGUGGCGAAGGCGGCUCACUGGCU